GCUAGCGGCAGGCCUAAUACAUGCAAGUCGAGGGGCAGCAGGUUCGAGUUUACUUGAACGCUGGCGACCGGCGCACGGGUGCGUAACGCGUAUGCAACCUACCUACUACAGAGGGAUAGCCACUGGAAACAGUGAUUAAUACCUCAUAAUGCAGGGACUCCACCUGGGGAAAUUGCUAAAGAUUUAUCGGUAGUAGAUGGGCAUGCGUAAGAUUAGCUAGUUGGUGGUGUAACGGACCACCAAGGCGACGAUCUUUAGCGGGUCUGAGAGGAUGAUCCGCCACACUGGAACUGAGACACGGUCCAGACUCCUACGGGAGGCAGCAGUAGGGAAUAUUGGUCAAUGGGGGCAACCCUGAACCAGCCAUGCCGCGUGCAGGAAGACAGCCUUCUGGGUUGUAAACUGCUUUUAUCAGGGGGGAAUUGUCGGGAUGCGUCCCGAAGUUGACAGUACCUGAUGAAUAAGCACCGGCUAACUCCGUGCCAGCAGCCGCGGUAAUACGGAGGGUGCAAGCGUUGUCCGGAUUUAUUGGGUUUAAAGGGUGCGUAGGCGGGACAAUAAGUCAGUGGUGAAAGUCCACCGCUCAACGGUGGGAUU
rnacentral:rRNA from 1 species